ACGAAUUUGUAUCAUACAUUUUUCUAUUGUUAUUUGUUUAGGCAUAUUUCUUUCAUCAUCAACCCCAGUUCAACGAAUUCAGCCAUGGAUUGCCGAGAAGAACAAGGCAUACAUCGUGACCAACUCUCCUGUGGAGAUUGUGCGAAUGAAUUGGGCAGAUGAGAGUAACCAAGUGGACACCGGAGUUUAUCUUGUGAGGAACCUUGAAACAUUCAUCGGAGUCAGCUCGACUGCCUGGGACUGCAACAUGACAAACUGUUCGCUUCGCAAGCUUUGUCGAAUGCGUGUUAGGUAUUGCGCAUCAAUCUUAAUGUGGAGUGAGAAUGAUAAUAGGAGAGAAAUCGCCAAGUCAUCAACAGAAUACUACGCAGAUAUGUGGUGACGUAGGAAUAAAUGUCGAUCAAUUGCUUUUUGGUUGAUUAAAUUAGUUACCUGAACAAUUUUCACAUCUGUUGGUACCUAUGUUUUUUACCUAUUGGAUCUGGUUGUAGGUAUUUUGAGAUAAGACUUAUGAUUUUGAUUUAUAUGAUCACAUUUAUGACAUUUUU